UUGCUGAAGCUGCUUCCAUGUCCUUAAGGUGAGAAAGCAUGUGAGGACUUUGCAAGUACUUGGAGUAAAGGAAGAGGAGAGAAUUCACAGAGUGAAAAGAGGAGAAAGAGUGCUCUAAAAUAUCACCAAUGGACUGCAACAUGUUGAACACUGGCUACUACACCACUCUUUCUGUUGCUGAGGGAUGCUGCUCUAUAAGACAAAGGGGAAGAAAGAAAGCCUGGAACGAAGAACUGAAGUCUUUUAAUCUUACGUACUGGAGAGGAACCCCCAUCUCGCCACCCCCAGUGCCAGGGCCUAAACAUUGAAGGUUGUUGUCAGAGUCAAUGGGUUAAAUUUGUAAAGGUUACUCUAUGCUGAAGAGAAUUAAAUAACUAAUCCCUGUAUCUCCUGAUGAAAAUAAUGCC